AAUGGAAAAAGGGAUAGAUUGGAGAAACAAUCAAACCAAAGAAUUAAAUGAUCCUUUCAUUUAUAGAAGGAUCAUAGGAAAAUUGAUAUACCUUAACAUCACCAGACCUGACAUUACAUAUACAGUCAGGAUUCUAAGUCAAUUUAUGGAAAAAACCAACACAAAUGCAUCUAGAUGCAAUUAAUUUGAUACUUAAAACAAGCUCCUGAACAAGGGAUUAUGAUAAGUAAAGAAAAACCACUAGAGUUGGAAGGUUAUUGUGAUGCAGACUGGGGUGCAUGCACUCUCAGUAGAAGAUCAAUGUUUGAUUUUUGCAUGCUCUUAGGUGGAAAUUUGAUCUCAUAGAAAUCAAACAAGCAACAAACUGUUUCUUUUUCUUUAGCUGAAUCCGAAUACAGAGCUCUGACGACAGCAACAAGAGAGGUAAUAUGGAUAAGGCAACUUAUGAAAGAGAUGAAAAUGCCACUAAAUAAUCCAACAUCAUUGUAUUGUGAUAACAAAUCUGCGCUAUACAUAGCACAAAAUCCUGUUUUUCACGAGAAAACAAAACACACAGAGAUGAUAUGUAACUAUGUGAGGGAAAAAAUAGAAUUAGGUGAUAUGACCCUCAAACACAUUGGAACAAAGCAAAACCUAGCCGACAUAUUCACCAAAACAAUGGGUGAAGUCCAAAUGACUGGAUUCCUAUCCAAAUUGGGCAUCAAAGACAUCUACUCCUCAAUUUGAGGGGGGGGUGUAUUAAGUAUAUAUUAGUAUUAAUUAAGAAUUAUUAAAAGGAUGGAACCUAAGAUCAAGUCAGAGUUAAAUCAACUACAAGAAGAGGUCGGCUAAAAUAAUUAGUUAAAUAUUAAGUUGUUAAAUUUUAUCUAAUUACUAAUCCUAGUUAUUUUAUCUAAAUACAUUUGGAAACUAUUAAAAUAAAUUAUAAACUUACUGCAAUUUUUCCACCUUCUUCUUCCUCUAUCUUUUAUUGUUACGAUAGUUGCUGAUUGGGUUCAGGUAAGCUUGGUGGUAGAAAGUCCUAUUGGGGCUUUCUGAUUAUGACCACUACAGUUGCGAUUCUUGACGGGAACAACUGCAGAUCUAAGGGCAAUUUUUUAUAUGAGAAGCCUUGUGAAUCUCACCAUCUCCUUCAACUUCUUUUCCGAGUUCAGUCACGACCGUACAAAAUCAUUCCAGGGAUUUGAUUUCCUCUAGAGGGAUGCAAAGACCAUCGCCGGACUGUGCUUCUGUUCCCGCCGGCGUCCAGGAAAGCUGCUAUAUACAAGCUGGUGAGUUACAUGCACCAACGACUAAUACAAUUAACUAACGAAGAGUAAAUUAAGAAAAAUUACUUUCUAACAAUCCCUAACGAUGUAAGAACUAGAAUUGGUGGUUACUUUUGACCACGAAGCCAUUUAAGUGAUUAGAAAUGAAACCCAUCAAAAAAAUGUAAAAGUUGACAUUUGUUUGUUAGGACAUAUAAGUCGUGGA
rnacentral:lncRNA from 1 species